UAGGGAAUCUUCCACAAUGGACGAAAGUCUGAUGGAGCAACGCCGCGUGAGCGAUGAAGGCCUUCGGGUCGUAAAGCUCUGUUGUUAGGGAAGAACAAGUACCGGAGUAACUGCCGGUACCUGACGGUACCUACCAGAA
rnacentral:rRNA from 1 species